UCUCUUUAUAUCUUAAAUACAUUUCAAUAUCCUACUGCAGUUCUGGGACAGAAUGAGCUUCCUUUAGAAUGGAUUUAUACAAAACAUAGAUUCUCCAAAAAUAUUAUGCCAUAUGAUGACCAGAUCGCAUUAUUAAUUGAACAAGGAAGACAGAGAAGUAUAACUUUGACGGGCAAUGACAUUUCUCACAUAAUUACCCCCUUACCUAAAGACCAAUGGACUUACUUGGUACAAAUGACUGAAAUGCUACAAAUAGCAUUGGCUCAAUAUACCGGAGGUAUUUCCUAUCAUAAAA
rnacentral:lncRNA from 1 species